UAAUUCUAGGAAUUUUCAGUUUGCACCUCUUAGCAAAGACACGCAAGUUCAUUACUUCUCUGGAGAAAUAGAUGAUAAUUCAAUUCAUCAGCUUUGAAAUGAAUUACUUUUUUUGAAGUCUCGACAUAGGUGUCAACCAUAUCUUCAAGCUUUUCACCGUAAGCGACAUCUUAUCAGUUCACUAGGAGGCAUAGUCUUCCCUCUACAGUGAUAUUUGACACCUGUGAGGAUGAGCACCGGAAAGGAACUGCCUCGAAAAAAUUGCCCAUCACCGGAUUCGUGCGGUUGGAGUAAGAAAGAUAUGCUCCACUUUCACUGCCCACGGGAAGAUUGUAAAUAUUCUGCAAGAGAGCCGAAGAGAGUUUACGCACACAUUCAAUCGAAACAUGCAGAGAUAAAUUCCAUGCCUUCUACCUCAGAAGGCUUCACUAGAGAACCAGACGGAGAGGU